CUGAGCCAUGAUGAGGUUACUACCGCCCCAGUCUGAUUUCUGUGACUGAGUGGUAUCUUCUGAGCUUGC